CCCGGUUUCCGCUCGCGCCUCUCCCUCCACACCUGCCCACAAGCUGAGGGAGCCGGCUCCGGCCUUGGCCAGCCCGGAAAGGGGCUCCCACAGUGCAGCGGCAGGCUGAAGGGUUCCUCAAGUGCCGCCAAAGUGGGAGCCCAGGCAGAGGAGGCGCCAAGAGCGAGCGAGGGCUGUGAGGACUGCCAGCACGCUGUCACCUCUCAGUACCACCAAUAUCAUGAUUAUUGAAUGAGGUUGCCUUGAUAAUUCUGCUGAUCUUGCCUGGCUUUACUAAUGUGCCUGAGGUUGUCUAGAAGAUGAAAUGGAAUGGGUGGAUUUGGUGGAAUAGGUGGAUUCGGUGGAAUGGAUGGAUUCAGUGGAAUGGGAUGAAGCCAACUCAAGUGAUUAACCUGGAAGUAAAAUUAAAGUGAUUAAGGACUAUAAAAAUGGAAAAUCAGUGAUGGUUGGUUAUUACUCACCAGUCAGACAUGUGCUAUUCCACCAUGGCGACAAUUUUGAAGAACAAGAAUCAAGUGAUGAAAGAUGUUAAAGGACCUGCUUUAUUGAAGAUAAGGAGACACAAAAUUUAAUAAAGGCUUAUCUCAGAUACAGAGAAAUUUCUAAUGACCUAGAUUGAAAACCACACACAUAAAUACAUAUCUCUCAGCAUCAUGACAAUCAGGCAAAAGCGCAAAAGCAAAAAGUUUGUUUGCAGUGAGCAAAGUAAAGGCCGUACUCUACUAUAAAAUUGAGUUUACUGCUAGCUCUGGGUGGUAUAAAUGAUUCAAUAAUUGCGAUGCUUUGGAUAAUGUGAAAGCGAG
rnacentral:lncRNA from 1 species